CCUACGGGAGGCAGCAGUGGGGAAUAUUGCACAAUGGGGGAAACCCUGAUGCAGCGACGCCGCGUGAGUGAAGAAGUAUUUCGGUACGUAAAGCACUAUCAGCAGGGAAGAAAAUGACGGUACUUGACAAAGAAGCCCCGGCUAACUACGUGCCAGCAGCCGCGGUAAUACGGAGGGGGCAAGCGCUAUCCGGAUUUACUGGUUGUAAAGGGAGCGUAGACGGCAGCACAAGUCUGGAGUGAAAUCCCGGGGCUUAACCCCGGAACUGCUUGGGAGACUGGGCGGCUGGAGUGCAGGAGGGGUGAGCGGAAUUCCUAGUGUAGCGGUGAAAUGCGUAGAUAUUAGGAGGAACACCGGUGGCGAAGGCGGCUUACUGGAC
rnacentral:rRNA from 1 species